rnacentral:RNase_P_RNA from 1 species
UCGGUCGGCCGGAUGGCCGCUGUCGUCCUGAGGACGAUGGAGGAAAGUCCGGGCUCCACGGAGACACGGUGCCGGGUAACGCCCGGCGGGGGCAACCCCAGGGAAAGUGCCACAGAGAGCAGACCGCCCGCCGGGACCGGCUUCGGCCGGUCUGCGGGUAAGGGUGAAAGGGUGCGGUAAGAGCGCACCGCGCUGCCGGCAACGGCGGCGGCACGGCAAACCCCACCGGGAGCAAGACCAAAUAGGGGCGGCGCGUCGGAGCUCCGGCUCCGACAGGCUCGUCUCCGGGCCAGCCGUCCGGGUCGGUCGCGCGAGGCGUCCGGCAACGGGCGUCCCAGAGGAAUGGCCAUCCCCCGAGCUUCGUGCGAGGGGACAGAACCCGGCUUACAGGCCGGCCGACGCC